AAUCAAGCUAAGAAGGGCAUACGGUGGAUGCCUUGGCGCCAAGAGCCGAAGAAGGACGCGGCAAGCUGCGAAAAGCCACGGGGAGCCGCAAGCGGGCAUUGAGCCGUGGACGUCCGAAUGGGGCAACCCGGCGGCGGUGAAGCGCCGUCACCCGCGCAAGCGGGGGGGAACCCGGGGAAGUGAAACAUCUAAGUACCCGGAGGAAAAGAAAUCAAGCGAGAUUCCCCAAGUAGCGGCGAGCGAACGGGGAAAGGCCCAAACCGGGCGGCCCAGGCCGCCCGGGGUUGAGGACCGGCAAAAAGCGCGCCUUGCCUAGCCGAAGCGGAUGGGAAGCCGCCCCACAGGAGGCAAGAGGCCUGUAGGCGAAAGGCGGGGCGCGCGGGCCGGGAUCCAGAGUACCACGGAGCACGGGAAACUUUGUGGGAAGCAGGGGGGACCACCCUCCAAGGCUAAACACUCCUUGGCGACCGAUAGCGCACAGUACCGUGAGGGAAAGGUGAAAAGAACCCCGGGAGGGGAGUGAAAGAGUGCCUGAAACCGUAUGCCUACAAGCAGUCGGAGCGAAAGCGACGGCGUGCCUAUUGAAGAAUGAACCAACGAGUUGCGCCGGCCAGCGAGGUUAAGUGGGAGACACGGAGCCGAAGCGAAAGCGAGCCCGAACGGGGCGGAAGACAGUUGGCCGGCGCAGGCCCGAAACCACAGUGAUCUAUGCGUGGCCAGAGUGAAGCGCGGGUAAAAGCGCGUGGAGGCUCGAACCCGUGAGCGUUGAAAAGCUCUGGGAUGAGCCGCGCAUAGGGGAGAAAUUCCAAUCGAACGUGGAGAUAGCUGGUUCUCCCCGAAAUAGCUUUAGGGCUAGCCUCAGGCGGCAAAUGCAAACGGUAGAGCACUGACCGGGGAAGGGGCCUUGCAGGUUGCCGAACCCUGUCAAACUGCGAAUGGGUGCAGUGUUGGCCUGGGAGUCAGACCGCGGGUGACAAGACCCGCCGUCGAGAGGGAAACAGCCCGGACCGCCGGCCAAGGUCCCCAAUGCCGUGCUAAGUGGCGAAGGAUGUGGGGGCGCGCAGACAACCAGGAUGUUGGCCCAGAAGCAGCCACCAUUCAAAGAGUGCGUAAUAGCUCACUGGUCGAGUGGCCCCGCGCCGAAGAUGACCGGGGCUCAAGCACGGAACCGAAGCCGCGGCCUUGGGGGCGACCCCAAGGGGUAGGGGAGCGUUCCCAGGGGGGCGAAGCCGCGCCGCGAGGGGCGGUGGACCCCUGGGAAGCGAGAAUGUUGGUAUGAGUAGCGAAAAGGAAGGCGGGAAUCCUUCCCACCGAAAGCCCAAGGUUUCCUGAGCAACGAUCGUCGCCUCAGGGUCAGUCGGGGCCUAAGCCGAGGCAAAGGGCGCAGGCGAUGGACAACAGGCGAAGAUUCCUGUACCGGACGGAGUCGACUGAGCGACGGAGUGACGCAGGAGGGCAGGCGGGCGCCCGGACGGAAGUGGGCGUUCAAGCCCGUAGGGGGGGGGCGAGGCAAACCCCGCCCCCCGAAACCCGAGAGGCGACGACGAGCGACCAGCGAUGGGAGCGAAGCCGCCGCACCCACGCUGCCAAGAAAAGCUCCUGGCGAGACGAAGUCCGCCCGUACCGCAAACCGACACAGGUGGGCGGGGAGAGAAUCCCAAGGUGCGCGGGAGAACCCUCGUUAAGGAACUCGGCAAAAUGUACCCGUAACUUCGGGAAAAGGGUAGCCCGCGCCCGUGUAGGGACGCAACGCCCGAGGCGGGCGCGGGCCGCAGAGAAGAGGCCCAGGCGACUGUUUAACAAAAACACAAGUGCCUGCGAAAGCGCAAGCUCAAGUAUAGGCGCUGACACCUGCCCAGUGCCGGAAGGUUAAGGGAGGGCGUCCGGGCGACCAAAGCGCCCGACCGAAGCCCCGGUGAACGGCGGCCGUAACUAUAACGGUCCUAAGGUAGCGAAAUUCCUUGUCGGGUAAGUUCCGACCCGCACGAAAGGUGUAACGAUCUGGGCGCUGUCUCAACGAGGGACCCGGCGAAAUUGAAGUACCUGUGAAGAUGCAGGUUACCCGCGACUGGACAGAAAGACCCCAUGGAGCUUUACUGUAACCUGGCAUUGUACUUUGAUGCGGCACGUACAGGAUAGGCGGGAGGCUGGGAAGCGCGCGCGCCAGCGCGCGCGGAGCCGGCGUUGGGAUACCGCCCUUGGCGCAUCGGAGUCCUAACCGCGGCGCCUUCAGCGCCCGGGACAUUGCCAGGCGGGCAGUUUGACUGGGGCGGUCGCCUCCGAAAGAGCAACGGAGGCGCCCAAAGGUCCCCUCAGCGCGGACGGAAACCGCGCGCGGAGCGCAAAGGCACAAGGGGGCUUGACUGCGAGACAGACAAGUCGGGCAGGGACGAAAGUCGGGCUUAGUGAUCCGGUGGCGCCGAGUGGAAGGGCCAUCGCUCAACGGAUAAAAGCUACCCUGGGGAUAACAGGCUAAUCUCUCCCAAGAGUCCAUAUCGACGGGGAGGUUUGGCACCUCGAUGUCGGCUCAUCACAUCCUGGGGCUGAAGCGGGUCCCAAGGGUUGGGCUGUUCGCCCAUUAAAGUGGUACGUGAGCUGGGUUCAGAACGUCGUGAGACAGUUCGGUCCCUAUCCAUCGCGGGCGCAAGAGAUUUGAGGGGAUCCGCCCCCAGUACGAGAGGACCGGGGUGGACGGGCCGCUGGUGCACCAGUUGUCCCGCCAGGGGCACCGCUGGGUAGCUACGCCCGGGGAGGAUAAACGCUGAAAGCAUCUAAGCGUGAAACCAGCCCCAAGAUGAGAUCUCCCACGGAGCAGUCCGGAAAGGCGCCUCCGAGACGAGGAGGUCGAUAGGCCGGGAGUGCAAGCGGCGCGAGCCGUUGAGCGGACCGGCACUAAUACGCCGAGGGCUUGAUUUG
rnacentral:rRNA from 1 species